rnacentral:rRNA from 1 species
GACGAACGCUGGCGGCGUGCUUAACACAUGCAAGUCGAACGGUGAAGGGACCGGUUUUUGCUGGUUCUGGAUGAGUGGCGAACGGGUGAGUAACACGUGAGUAACCUGCCCCCUUCUUCUGGAUAACCGCAUGAAAGUGUGGCUAAUACGGGAUAUUCUGCGCCUGCUGCAUGGUGGGUGUGGGAAAGAUAUUGUUUCGGUGGGGGAUGGGCUCGCGGCCUGUCAGCUUGUUGGUGGGGUGAUGGCCUACCAAGGCGGUGACGGGUAGCCGGCCUGAGAGGGCGGACGGUCAGACUGGGACUGAGACACGGCCCAGACUCCUACGGGAGGCAGCAGGGGGGAAUAGUGCACAAUGGGCGCAAGCCUGAUGCAGCGACGCCGCGGGAGGGAUGGAGGCCUUCGGGUUGUAAACCUCUUUCGCCAGUGAAGCAGGCCUGUCCCUUUUGUGGGUGGGUUGACGGUAGCUGGAUAAGAAGCGCCGGCUAACUACGUG